CUCAAUAAAUAUAAGCUACUAUGGUGCCCUUUUCCAGAUGAAUGAGGUAAUGUGAGCAGGAAUACAGGUGGCAGAGGCAGACUCAGAACCCAGAUCUAACUUAUUCUAGAGGCUGAGUUAGGUCUUGGCCACAAUGUUAAUUUUCUUGAUAUAUUUGAGGUAGGUUUCAAAGAAAUUAGGCAGAUAUCAUGGGAGCACUCUAGCAGUGGAAGGAUGGAGUGUUCAAUACUACAGAUGGCGUGGCUGCCAGUGGGUCACCACAAGGACACUGGUCAAUAUAGAGAGACAAUAUUAACCAACACAGGAAACUACUUCAUGGCUGUAUGAAUCAGAAUCUGAUGGCUUUCAUUUUGAUUUCUCAGAGAUGGAGAUACAAAAGGAGCAGGCCAACCUAUGCCAAUUUACCAACAAGCAAGUUUCAUGAGAACCACUCUACCAGAUGAGAGAAUAGUUUAGUUCAUACUGCGGUAUUGUCUGACAAAACGCAGAGGUCAAGUGGAUGACUCAUAGCAUGGCCAACAUCACUCAGCUACAGCUGCGCCCUUACCAAGCCUUUGGAGAUUUCAGACCAUUGUUGCUGCCAAAUGCAGCCCACCAGGGACAGAUACUAUGUGUAAAAGAAUAGUUUUGCAUCCUCUCCAUUGAGCUGCUUCGGAAAUGACAUUGAAAGGAGCUUAUGAAAUAAAAAUAAGAUGUUAAAUGCCG
rnacentral:lncRNA from 1 species